rnacentral:rRNA from 1 species
AUUGAACGCUGGCGGCAUGCCUUACACAUGCAAGUCGAACGGCGGCACGGGUGCUUGCACCUGGUGGCGAGUGGCGAACGGGUGAGUAAUACAUCGGAACGUACCUUAUCGUGGGGGAUAACGCAGCGAAAGCUGUGCUAAUACCGCAUACGCCCUGAGGGGGAAAGCGGGGGAUCGAAAGACCUCGCGCGAUUAGAGCGGCCGAUGCCUGAUUAGCUUGUUGGUGGGGUAAAAGCCCACCAAGGCGACGAUCAGUAGCUGGUCUGAGAGGACGAUCAGCCACACUGGGACUGAGACACGGCCCAGACUCCUACGGGAGGCAGCAGUGGGGAAUUUUGGACAAUGGGGGCAACCCUGAUCCAGCAAUGCCGCGUGAGUGAAGAAGGCCUUCGGGUUGUAAAGCUCUUUUGUCAGGGAAGAAACACCGGCUCUAACACAGUCCGGGAAUGACGGUACCUGAAGAAUAAGCACCGGCUAACUACGUGCCAGCCGCCGCAGUAA